rnacentral:rRNA from 1 species
UACGUAGGGUGCAGGCGUUAAUCGGAAUUACUGGGCGUAAAGCGUGCGCAGGCGGUCUUUUAAGUCAGAUGUGAAAUCCCCCGGGCUUAACCUGGGAAUGGCAUUUGGGACUGCAAGGCUGGAGUGUGGCAGAGGAGACUGGAAUUCCUGGUGUAGCAGUGAAAUGCGUAGAUAUCAGGAGGAAUACCGAUGGCGGAAGGCAGGUCUCUGGGCUGACACUGACGCUCAUGCACGAAAGCGUGGGGAGCAAACAGGAUUACGAAACCGGAGUAGAUCCA